rnacentral:misc_RNA from 1 species
UUAACGAUUGGAUAAAUCCACUCAGACGGCAACCUUCACACAGUGUUCGUGGAUGUCUCCGGCGGGCGCGGAACCCGGGGGCGCGAGGCCCCCCGGCAGCCCCGAAGGGCGGGCCCGCCGAAGCAACAAGGGACGGUAGACACGGGUGGGAGGGUGGACCCAGAGGGCCCGACACUCGGUAAUGAUCCUUCCGCAGGUUCACCUACGGAAA